ensembl:lncRNA
UGAUGACAUAUGAAGGAAAUUCAGGCCUCUUGACUCAGAGCCAGAGGCCUGUGUAAACAUUCCUGUGUCUGAGAUUUUGGGGUUGGGGUAGGUCUCUGGAUCUGUCCCCUCCAAAUGUCAGGAGCUCACGGAAUUUUCACAAAGGAUCGUGCCUAGGAAAUGUAGACUUUGGUGAUAAAAAAUACACAGUGAUCAUUACAUUGACAUUUGAAAUAUCUGGCUCUCUUUGAAUUGCACAGAUAAUGUUAAAAGGUCAGUGGUGAUGUUGAUGAAAGAAAAUGGUUGGUGAGUAGGAUCUUAAUAAUAGUUCUUUAUUGAGUGAAGCAAACAAAAGCUUAGAAAACAACAUAUGGGCAAAUGCAGUUUAAAGCACAGUAACACAGAAUUCCACAGCAAUACAACCAAGGCCAAGUUCCAGCCUCCUGGCUUCCAUAAUUCCAGAAAAAAAAAAAUCUAGUAAAUGUUUGAAUAAAAUGUCCAUGGCCAAGAGGAACUGACAAGGUCAAACCUGCAGGAGUACUCACAUUUCUGGUUUUCCCAUUAGAUUUUAUCUCUUAUCAAGCAGUGGGAUCUGGCAAGAGGGAUAGAAAAGAUUUUUAAUUCAACUUUGAGAAGAACUGGAGGAAGAAGCAAGGCCAUGGGAGUCCUUCUCCAUGGGACCACAGUGUUCCCAUGGUGACAGAGCGUUGCUCCUUAGACUCUUCCCGGGAGGUUAAUGCUGCUCUUCCGUGUCAGAGCACUCUGUCUUCUAUUAUCCAGCUCCAGAUUCUAGCUGAUGCUGUGGGUCAUGUCUGGUGGUUUUCCCUCACUGCAAAUGAUGGCCAGAAUUUUGUGCUUCUCCCUGAUCAACAAAUGCUGUGUUUCUGGGAAAUGUUGAAACUGCAGCUCCAGCCCGGAUACUCUGGACCACUGAGGCCUCAGCUUGCAAUGCUGCCCACUCUAGUUUCGAGGCUGAUUUUCUCUGAUGGGAUGGACUUUUUGUUGGAGGUGGAGGAGAUGUCUUUCGUUUGGCCAGAGAGCCUGUCCAUGCCAGUUCUGAAGUGCUGACUGGAACAAAGGGCUGUCUGCCUGGAUUGUAGACGCCCGAUGAAGAGGUGUUGCUGAGCUCCCGGUAUCUGUAGCACAUACCGGCAGUGAGGCAGAUGGGCCCUGUCAUCCCGGCCAGAACCAUCACCUGCUUAAAGCCCCAAAGGGCCAAACAACGAACUCUCCUAGAAUCAACUCCAUGGCCGUGAAGAAUCUUGUUAUAAAAUGGCUACUCGUGUAACUCUGCUUCUGGGGGAGGAAUAUGCAGCUCAGGCCAAAAUGAGGAUUAGGACUUGUCUAGCGGCUGUGCUUCAGUGAAAAUUAAUAUGCUGGCAAUUUUGGUUCUUACGGGACUGUUGCCAGCUUAGUUACUGUGGGUCUACUGCUCAGAAACUCAUCCAACUUUGCAGCCUGUGACUGAGCUAAGGCUGCAGACCGAAUUCAUUCAUUCAAGUAACAUCAUGUGUCUCUAAGCCAGAGUUAGAGAGAAGGAAGGAUACACUCACUCACUCACUCUCUCUCUCUCUCUCUCUCUCACACACACACACACACACACAUACACAGAGAGAGAGAGAGAGAGAAAGCCUCCAUCUGCUGGUUCACUCCCCAAAUGUCUACAAUGGUGAGGGCUGGGCCUGGUUGAAGCCAGGAACCAGAAGCUUCAUUCAAGUCUCCCACAUGGGUACAGGGGUCCAAGUGCAUUAGCAAGGGAGCUGGCUUGGAAGUGGGGCACCCGAGACUCGAACCAGCUCCCAUAUGGAAUGUGGUGGGUGCUGUAGGCGGCAGCUUAACCUGCUACACCACAAUGCUGGUCCAGUCAUGUUUUUUUCUAUUUUAUCUUAUAGGCAAAGAGUGCUUACCGAAGGAAUUUUUUCUUAUUCAAAAUUUUUGAGACAGAGAGGGAGAGAGCAACAGAUAGAGAGAGCUCCCAUUCACUGUUCAUUCUGUAAAUGUCCGCAAUGGCCUGCCUGGGCUGAGCCACAGUAACUAAGCUGAAGCUGGGAGCAGGGAGCCAGGAACUCAG